AAAAGAAGUAGGUAGUUUAACCUUCGGGAGGACGCUUACCACUUUGUGGUUCAUGACUGGGGUGAAGUCGUAACAAGGUAGCCCUAGGGGAACCUGGGGCUGGAUCACCUCCUUAUACGAUGAU
rnacentral:rRNA from 1 species